rnacentral:rRNA from 1 species
UACGGGGGGAGCAAGCGUUGUUCGGAUUUACUGGGCGUAAAGGGCGCGUAGGCGGCCUGAUAAGUAGGGGGUGAAAUCCUGCGGCUUAACCGCAGGGCUGCCUUCUAAACUGUCGGGCUAGAGCACGGUAGAGGCAGAUGGAAUUCCCGGUGUAGCGGUGGAAUGCGUAGAGAUCGGGAAGAACAUCAGUGGCGAAGGCGGUCUGCUGGGCCGUUGCUGACGCUGAGGCGCGACAGCGUGGGGAGCAACAGG